rnacentral:rRNA from 1 species
CACGUAGGGCGCAAGCGUUGUCCGGAAUUAUUGGGCGUAAAGAGCUCGUAGGCGGUCUGUUGCGUCCGCUGUGAAAACCCGGGGCUUAACCCCUGGCUUGCAGUGGAUACGGACAGACUAGAGGUAGGUAGGGGAGAAUGGAAUUCCCGGUGUAGCGGUGAAAUGCGCAGAUAUCGGGAGGAACACCGGUGGCGAAGGCGGUUCUCUGGUACGUGACUGACGCUGAGACGCGAAAGCGUGGGGAGCGAACAGG